UACAGAGGGGGCAAGCGUUGUCCGGAAUUACUGGGCGUAAAGCGCACGUAGGCGGAUCAUUUAGUCAGGGGUGAAAUCCCGGGGCUCAACCUCGGAACUGCCUUUGAUACUGAUGGUCUCGAGUCCGAUAGAGGUGAGUGGAAUUCCUAGUGUAGAGGUGAAAUUCGUAGAUAUUAGGAAGAACACCAGUGGCGAAGGCGGCUCACUGGAUCGGUACUGACGCUGAGGUGCGAAAGCGUGGGGAGCAAACAGG
rnacentral:rRNA from 1 species